UACGUAGGGUGCGAGCGUUGUUCGGAUUUACUGGGCGUAAAGGGCGCGUAGGCGGCCACCGCAAGUCAGUUGUGAAAUCUCUGGGCUUAACCCAGAACGGUCAGCUGAUACUGCGGGGCUAGAGUGCAGAAGGGGCAACUGGAAUUCUCGGUGUAGCGGUGAAAUGCGUAGAUAUCGAGAGGAACACCUGCGGCGAAGGCGGGUUGCUGGGCUGACACUGACGCUGAUGCGCGAAAGCUAGGGGAGCGAACGGG
rnacentral:rRNA from 1 species